CACAGGCUAAUAGCGCCAGCUGCUUUCCAUUGCCCUAAGGAGUGAUUCUACUGCUGCAACGAGACCAAAUACAACGAAAGUAUUGAUGCUGCAAAAGAAGACGGAUCUUUUGGUAGGCUGGUUAAUGAUGACCACAAGCACCCAAAUGGCAGAAUGCAGAAGACUGAAGUGGAUGGAAGCCCACAUCUUGGUCUGUUUGCUUUAACAGACUUUAAAGAAGGAGAUGAAAUUACCUACAAUUACGGAGGAGGAGUCUGGCCUUGGUGUAGCAAGGUAAAACAUCUACUCUGAAAAAGAGGAAGGCUCGGGAAGGAAAUGAGAUCCAUGCAGUGGAGAGACAUAUGAAGACCUUCAUCAUGUCAUGUCGUGUCCCAGGGAAGUUGGCCUGUGAAAACUGCAUUAGAUCUGAGUCUUUAUAUCUUAAAGAUAGAGACUGGCAAAGUGUCAAAUUCUAUGUCUAUAACUGCACUGUAGCUUACAAAAGAGAUUUAAACAAAGAUUAAAUAACACUUUGAUAGUAACACUUUACAUCUAUAUUACAGAUACUGUACAUCAUAACAUCUGUAGUAAUGCUUUAAUAAUAAGUUACAUUACACCUCUAGCCUUUUACUUUGUAAUGAACCACUCAGCAUUUACUUCAUAAUAAACUAAUCAGGAACAAAUCAGGCAUUUAAAAUAUCCAUUAGAAUCUUUACCUACACCGUUAUAUUGAAUUAGAUCAAAUUGGUUUGGGCCGCCUUCUUCCAGUGGGUCCUUAUGCAGGUGACUGACAAGUUCAUGAGUAAGCCUAUUGGGCAAUAAAAGCUUCAGUGUGCUACCCAUUUACAUGUUUAGACUGCCUGGAAUCAAAAUUAGCUACCUCAACAUACAUUAUUAAGUUGUUACUGUCACUUUUUAGCUUAGUCAGUUAAGUGGAUAUAGAAUAAAGAAAAAAAUUGUGUUUAUGACAUUUGGUUGUGUGUCUGUGUUUGGCUAGUAUCUUUAUUUUUCUCAAUAUGUUUAACUUUGAGCUGGCUAUAUGUAGUAAGCAGAAGUGUUAUGUCAAACUUAAAUGAGUCCAAGUUCAUUCAUGGCACAUGUGAGCUUAGUAGUUGUGCACUUUAAUGGGUAAAUAUUUGUUGUCUUUUACAGUAAAGAAGCUCAAGACUCAAGUUGUCUUUAUAAUGUUGAAUAGACAGGGUUUUUUCAUCUGACUGACCAUUUUUCACUUGAUUAGAGAUCCAGACCAAUAAACAAAUACUUUGUGUAGCUAAAAUAUCAAAAGGAUGAGUGUCUUUGUCAUUUCGACUUGCCAAAAUGACUGGGGAUAGUGUUAAUUUGUGAUGCAUGCCUGUGAUAAAUAAGUGAGGUUCAGUACAGCUAGCACCUCUACUUUCUAUUCCACAAAAAAAAUUAUACUUUGGAGCAGGAAAUGAAACGCUUCUUAGAAUUAUAGCCUCAAAACUAAUAAUAGCACUGGUACCACCUUCCUUAACAAGUUCCUAGGUUUCUCAAAGGGUUUCUCUGUUGGAAAUAGAAAGCUCCAAAAAAAUGUAGUCUGUUAUCUAUUACGUGCAGAUAUUGAAAUUUC